CUCCCUAGGGGCCGCGAACCCAUCCGAAAAAUCGGCCAGUCCAAAAAAAAAAAAUGGUAGUCAUUU
rnacentral:lncRNA from 1 species